rnacentral:lncRNA from 1 species
AUGAAAAGGAGAAAAUCUGGUGAAGGCACAUGGUGUCUUUGCGAAAAUUGUGGAUCAAUAUUAUUUUAUACUAAUUUAGAAUUACAUCAAAAAGAGUUCUGCCCACCCUCUGCAGAGCUUUGGAAACAUCCUUUCAUUCUUGACUCCGUCAUAUACUCCUCUCUUGACACUCUUGAUGAUGAUGCUUACAAUUAUGUUCAUAUAUCAGAGGCAAUGAUCCGGCUUAAUAAAUUGGUGAUCGGUGAAGCAGUACUCUUGAUUCAAAACAAACAAGUUGUGAUAAAACUUGUCCGCCAGUCAUUAGUACCUCAAAAUCAGAACUUCAAAAUAUUCAUCGCUGAGGAAGAGCUGAAAAAUAUCUCUUUUGAGAGGGGACCAGUGAAGGUUAAGAAAAUUGAUCGCUUACCGCCACCAGCCAAAGAACUAGUGUUUUCAAUUGCUGACGGUGCAGUGAAUCAUGAAAAAUCAUGGAAUACUUGGCACAAAAUUAUCGAAAUCACUACUUCAAGAAUGGCUCAAAACUUUACUUCACAUUUUACGGAACAAAGCUCACAGCCAUCGUGGAUUCAGCUGUUAAACAUUUUGAUGGGAAUGAUGUAGCUGUAAAUUUUAGCUAUUUGUCAUUGGAAGACGACAGUGUUGCCUCUGGCAACUUUGUUCAAAGUUGUGAAUCUACCAAAUGGACAUUAUUGGGCAGCUCCUCACAGACAGAAUCAACUGGGGAGAAGGAUGUCUUCAUGUUAUCCAAAAUUGGAGGUCUUAGAAAUGUUAUCAGUCAGCUGCAAGAUAUGAUCAAGCUGUGUCUUUCCUCAAAAGAUGUUGGUAAGUGUUCUAUCCGCAGAACUGUCAUCCUGUCAAGGGCUGUUCAUCUCAGGAAAUAGCCAGGGUGUAUGAACUUCCAAAACCCAGGUCAUUUCUUGUGAUCAGGCAUUUUUGCCAUGUAGCCCAAUUUCUGAAUCACUGUCCGAUUUCUUUAAAACUAUCUACAAAAUUUCCUUUUCCUAAAGUGAUGAGGGAGAAGAAUUAUUAUCACUUUUGCCCAA